CACUUCAUGUCUAAUUAAUGUCUUUUAAUUUGCUUCCUUUGCCUGUUUUUCAAACUGAUUAAUCUGUAGGUUUACGAUUUCAUUUGUAAGGGCAACAGGAGAUGCAAAGGAGAUUAAAUACCUUGGGCUGGUAUCACACCCAUCAACACAAUUUUUAUUACUUUUUAAACAGGUUAAGUGGCAGAUUCCACCCCCAGGGUUCUCCUGCCUGGCAGCAAAACAUGCUGCUGCUCUUUCUCAGUCAGGUGUGUGAGCAGAACUUUGGCAAGGUUGACAGGUUGCAUGAAGCUGAUAGUUCAGUCUUACUGUUAGGGGUCAACUAGCAGUAUCAUCCCAAAUGGGUUUAGGUUUUCUUGGUAGGGCUGUUUGUCAGAACUCAUUGGCAUUGUUCGUGUACUCCCUCUGUACCUAUCCCAUUGCUAUUUAUCUCACAGUACAAAACUCUAAGCAAGUAGGUGCCAGCAUUCUCAUUAAAAUAUCAGUAUUACUCUGUACUAGUGCUAGUCAUCACCCACUUCUGUUGAAUAGUCGAUCUGUAAGAAAAAUAAUUACUAAGAGCACUUACCAAACUGAGACCAGCUCCCUGAGUGUACUCUGAAACAAAGAAAAUACACAAGCAGAUAUGAACUGAACAUAAAAAGUAAGACAGCCACAGGAUUUGACAGUUUCUGAGAGCUUGGAGAAAUGGGCUAUCAACCCAAGCAUCAGCCGCAGCAAUACAAAGCCAUGUGACCUGGAAGAGUUUAACUUCAUCGUCUCCAAGAAAUGCACCAGAUUCUCUGCACUUUCUGGUUCAUGCUACAGAGCCAAAACCUCUGGACCUCAACAAGGAGGAACAAGAGAUACUGGAGGAAGAAGCAGAGAGCAUAUUUCAUUCAACAGAUGCACAACCUGCCUAGCAGGAGGAAGAGCGGGAGUCCAGUGACAGACAAGCAGCCUCCUAGGACGUGCAAGCCUAUCACAGGCUGUCUACUGAGGACCCGAAUACAGGUUACUGAUGCUCGGCAGAUGAAAAAGAGAAACAAACAGUGCUCAGGGGACUGAAUUUCUUCCACAUGCCAUGUCUGUGGGGCUAAAGAAGAUGACAUGACUGUCUGCCAUGGACUGUUGAAGCCCAGGAAGGAACACAGAAUAAAAAGCCCAAUGAAAUAAGGAGGAGUACUGAAAUUUGGAAG